rnacentral:rRNA from 1 species
GAUGAACGCUGGCGGCGUGCUUAACACAUGCAAGUCGAACGGAAAGGCCCAAGCUUGCUUGGGUACUCGAGUGGCGAACGGGUGAGUAACACGUGGGUGAUCUGCCCUGCACUUCGGGAUAAGCCUGGGAAACUGGGUCUAAUACCGGAUAGGACCACUUCUUGGAUGUUGUGGUGGAAAGUUUUUCGGUGUGGGAUGAGCUCGCGGCCUAUCAGCUUGUUGGUGGGGUAAUGGCCUACCAAGGCGUCGACGGGUAGCCGGCCUGAGAGGGUGUACGGCCACAUUGGGACUGAGAUAGGGAGCAGACUGCUACGAGAGGCAGAAGAGGGGAAUAUUGCACAAUGGGCGCAAGCGUGAUGGAGAGAAGCCGCGUGGGGGAGGACGGCCUUCGGGUUGUAAACUACUUUCGCUAGGGACGAAGCUUAUUUUGUGACGGUAACUGGAGAAGAAGCACCGGCUAACGACGGGC